CUUACUGUGGGUUGUCUUGGCUGUAUUUGUGGGCAGUGUGCUGAUUUUAGUUAUUGGACCUGCUGUGUUAGCAUGGGAAGUUACUGGGGGGUUGUGGAAAAUUACAGCCGAUGGGUGUAAGAACAAAGCACAGGAGCUGGUGGUUUGGCAACAGUAUCUUGUUAUAGUCGCGCGAAGCUUUCCUAACACGAAAGGCAUGUAGUUACAAGGACCUAAGAUAAGAUAUGCAUGCUUUCUUACUAACCUAUCAUGAGCUCAGCCUUUGUAAUAUGUAUGAGCUAAUUAGUUGGUAUACCAAUCAGUAUAAUCCACGAUAGUAGUUGUAAUGUAUGUAACAGUAUAAAAGGAUUGUGUAGAGAACAAUAAAGUGGACACUUUGCUUGCAUCAAGUUGCGCCCCCGUCUCUUCAUCGCGGCAAAUGGUGCCCCCCGACGUGAUCUUUGGUGAAGACUCCGCCGGAGGCUGAUAAUCACCUAUCUGGUGGCGUGCUGCGAGUCCCGCAGAACUGGGAACGCUGCUACAAGGAGCAGGGAAAAGCCGGCUACAGAAGUCAUCACCCCCGUCUGGAACGAGAGUGCUUACAAAAGUCGAUAACCGCUUCAGUAAAUAAGAUUUUUCUUGUACAAGCACAAGACCUUCCGAAAACUCCCAGUACAGAAAUGUUGGUGAAGCAAGACGUCCUCGAAAUGGUUGGGCGCCGACCUUGGGAAGAAGCAAAUGUUUGAAAACAAAAAGGGGGAGAUGUGGGUUGUCUUGGCUGUAUUUGUGGGCAGUGUGCUGAUUUUAGUUAUUGGACCUGCUGUGUUAGCAUGGGAAGUUACUGGGGGGUUGUGGAAAAUUACAGCCGAUGGGUGUAAGAACAAAGCACAGGAGCUGGUGGUUUGGCAACAGUAUCUUGUUAUAGUCGCGCGAAGCUUUCCUAACACGAAAGGCAUGUAGUUACAAGGACCUAAGAUAAGAUAUGCAUGCUUUCUUACUAACCUAUCAUGAGCUCAGCCUUUGUAAUAUGUAUGAGCUAAUUAGUUGGUAUACCAAUCAGUAUAAUCCACGAUAGUAGUUGUAAUGUAUGUAACAGUAUAAAAGGAUUGUGUAGAGAACAAUAAAGUGGACACUUUGCUUGCAUCAA